UACGAAGGGGGCUAGCGUUGCUCGGAAUCACUGGGCGUAAAGGGUGCGUAGGCGGGUCUUUAAGUCAGGGGUGAAAUCCUGGAGCUCAACUCCAGAACUGCCUUUGAUACUGAGGAUCUUGAGUACGGGAGAGGUGAGUGGAACUGCGAGUGUAGAGGUGAAAUUCGUAGAUAUUCGCAAGAACACCAGUGGCGAAGGCGGCUCACUGGCCCGAUACUGACGCUGAGGCACGAAAGCGUGGGGAGCAAACAGGG
rnacentral:rRNA from 1 species